AUGUAAAUUCCUACAACAUAGAAUUAAUUCAAAAGAUCCUAUUAGAACUCCAUAGUUAAGUGUGCUCGGGUUAGAGUAGUACUAGGAUGGGUUGCUACCCAGGAAGUCCUAGUGUUUUACAUG
rnacentral:rRNA from 1 species